AUUGAACGCUGGCGGCAGGCCUAACACAUGCAAGUCGAGCGGAGCGGCAGACGGGUAAGGAAUGCCAAGGAAUCUGCAAGGUGCUGUGGGAUAACGUCCGGAAACGGGCGCUAAUACCUCAUACUAUCAGUUGAGUCUAGGUCGGAUUAGCUAGUUGGGGGGGUAAAGGCCUACCAGGGCGCCGAGCCGUAACUGGUAUGAGAGGAUGAUCAGUCAAACUGGAACGGAGACACGGUCCAGAUCCCUCCGGGAGGCAGCAGUGGGGAAUAUUGGACAAUGGGCGAAAGCCGGAUCCAGACCUGCCGCGUGUGGGAAGAAGGUCUUCGGAUUGUAAGGUACUUUAAGUUGGGAGGCGUUACCAGCAGAAUAAGCACCGGCUAACUUCGUGCCAGCCGCCGCGGUAAUAC
rnacentral:rRNA from 1 species